rnacentral:rRNA from 1 species
AGAGUUUGAUCCUGGCUCAGGACGAACGCUGGCGGCGUGCCUAAUACAUGCAAGUCGAGCGAGCGGAACCAACAGAUUUACUUCGGUAAUGACGUUGGGAAAGCGAGCGGCGGAUGGGUGAGUAACACGUGGGGAACCUGCCCCUAAGUCUGGGAUACCAUUUGGAAACAGGUGCUAAUACCGGAUAAUAAAGCAGAUCGCAUGAUCAGCUUUUGAAAGGCGGCGUAAGCUGUCGCUAAGGGAUGGCCCCGCGGUGCAUUAGCUAGUUGGUAAGGUAACGGCUUACCAAGGCGACGAUGCAUAGCCGAGUUGAGAGACUGAUCGGCCACAUUGGGACUGAGACACGGCCCAAACUCCUACGGGAGGCAGCAGUAGGGAAUCUUCCACAAUGGACGCAAGUCUGAUGGAGCAACGCCGCGUGAGUGAAGAAGGUUUUCGGAUCGUAAAGCUCUGUUGUUGGUGAAGAAGGAUAGAGGUAGUAACUGGCCUUUAUUUGACGGUAAUCAACCAGAAAGUCACGGCUAACUACGUGCCAGCAGCCGCGGUAAUACGUAGGUGGCAAGCGUUGUCCGGAUUUAUUGGGCGUAAAGCGAGCGCAGGCGGAAAAAUAAGUCUAAUGUGAAAGCCCUCGGCUUAACCGAGGAACUGCAUCGGAAACUGUUUUUCUUGAGUGCAGAAGAGGAGAGUGGAACUCCAUGUGUAGCGGUGGAAUGCGUAGAUAUAUGGAAGAACACCAGUGGCGAAGGCGGCUCUCUGGUCUGCAACUGACGCUGAGGCUCGAAAGCAUGGGUAGCGAACAGGAUUAGAUACCCUGGUAGUCCAUGCCGUAAACGAUGAGUGCUAAGUGUUGGGAGGUUUCCGCCUCUCAGUGCUGCAGCUAACGCAUUAAGCACUCCGCCUGGGGAGUACGACCGCAAGGUUGAAACUCAAAGGAAUUGACGGGGGCCCGCACAAGCGGUGGAGCAUGU